AUUAUAUUGAGUGAAUAAUUUUCUGGGUCUCUGAUAAAGUUUCAAAGUUAUAAGAAAUUGGCUUUAGCUGUUAUCAUGAAAUAAUAUACGUAGGUAUUUAGCACAUUGCAUGGUCUUUGCCACAUAGUAGACACCCCCAAAAUGUGAGGUUCCUUCCUGCAUUUCCUGUACUACAGUGUGUCUAUGUCUCCCCAUGAGAUUAUACAUUUCUCAUUGGCAGAGAUUGCCAUCUGCCUUUCAAGCUCUAGCUCCUAGCAUAUGACUUGGUACAGAGCCAGGCUUAGAUAACUAUUUGAUGAUUAGAUAUCUGAAAGAAAGGAUAAAUAACAGAUGCGUAAUAUGAUUAGAAAAGGUAAUAUAUUAUACACCCCAGUUUUUUAACCUCAAUUAUUGUCAACAAAUUUUACUAAUUCUGCUUGCCUAUUUUUCUUUUUUUGUAGUUAUGAUCCAGACUCUUAACACCAUUCUCCUUCAGAUUGAUUCUAAAUUUCUGAUGCUUUGAAGGACUAUGGCAUGAUGGAAAUAAGAUUCAGCAGAGGCUAAUUUAGCAAUGAUCUGGCAGCUGGAAUGGAGAAAAAAGAGACAGAGACAGCAGACUUGGGAAUAGUUGAAGGGAAUAAAGGAGGAAAUGGAAAAAGUGACAAGGCCCUAGGGUGUGGCAGAUCCACAGACGGCACAAGGCUGAGUUCUUGCAUCACUGCAUACAGGGACGGCACCAGGAAUGCUCAUCUUGGCCAACAUGUGAACGGGAAAUAAACCUGCAUUGCGUGAAGACCCUGGACUUUUGGAGUUUGUUUGUUUCAGCAGGACCUCAAGCCUGAAAGCCACGUUUCAAAAUGGAUGAUCUUAUUUGACUUGUGCUUUGAUGUCGCCUUACUGAUAGAGUUCAUGAUGAUUUUUGAGAAGCAUUUCUCCCCAUGGCCCUUUCUGAACAGAGAAAAGACUAAUAAAGAGAUGAUUGCAACAAUCUCAACUCAUGUAGUUGUCCUUUUGAAUGUCUGAAAUCCUGUAGUGGAUCUGCUAGGUGUUAGAUAA
rnacentral:lncRNA from 1 species